rnacentral:rRNA from 1 species
UACGUAGGGUGCAAGCGUUGUCCGGAAUUAUUGGGCGUAAAGAGCUCGUAGGCGGUUCAGCAAGUCGGGUGUGAAACCUCCAGGCUCAACCUGGAGACGCCACCCGAUACUGCUGUGACUUGAGUCCGGUAGGGGACCACGGAAUUCCUGGUGUAGCGGUGAAAUGCGCAGAUAUCAGGAGGAACACCGGUGGCGAAGGCGGUGGUCUGGGCCGGAACUGACGCUGAGGAGCGAAAGCGUGGGGAGCGAACAGG